rnacentral:rRNA from 1 species
AUUGAACGCUGGCGGCAUGCUUUACACAUGCAAGUCGAACGGUAACAGGCCUUCGGGCGCUGACGAGUGGCGAACGGGUGAGUAAUGCAUCGGAACGUGCCCAGUCGUGGGGGAUAACUAUCCGAAAGGAUAGCUAAUACCGCAUACGAUCUGCGGAUGAAAGCGGGGGACCUUCGGGCCUCGCGCGAUUGGAGCGGCCGAUGUCAGAUUAGGUAGUUGGUGGGGUAAAGGCUCACCAAGCCAACGAUCUGUAGCUGGUCUGAGAGGACGACCAGCCACACUGGGACUAAGACACGGCCCAGACUCCUACGGGAGGCAGCAGUGGGGAAUUUUGGACAAUGGGCGCAAGCCUGAUCCAGCAAUGCCGCGUGCAGGAAGAAGGCCUUCGGGUUGUAAACUGCUUUUGUACGGAACGAAACGGCUCUGGUUAAUACCCGGGGCUAAUGACGGUACCGUAAGAAUAAGCACCGGCUAACUACGUGCCAGCAGCCGCAGUAAGAC